rnacentral:misc_RNA from 1 species
GAUGAAGAACGCAGCGAAAUGCGAUACGUAAUGUGAAUUGCAGAAUUCAGUGAAUCAUCGAAUCUUUGAACGCAUAUUGCGCUCUUUGGUAUUCCGAAGAGCAUGCUUGUUUGAGUAUCAGUAAACACCUCAACCUCUUCUUGACUUUUCAAAAGGAGGGUGGACUUGAGCUAUCCCAACAACCUUUACCGGUCGGCGGGCGGCUUGAAAUGCAGGUGCAGCUGGACUUUUAUCUGAGCUAAAAGCAUAUCUAUUUAGUCCUCGUCAAACAGGAUUAUUACUUUUGCUGCAGCUAACAUAAAGGAUAAUUGUCCUCUUUGCUGACUGAUGCAGGAUUUUACGACACUUUAUGUGUUGUUCAACUCGAUCUCAAAUCAAGUAAGACUACCCGCUGAACUUAAGCAUAUCAAUAAGCGGAGGA